UCCGGUUGAUCCUGCCAGAGGCUACUGCUAUCGGGGUUCGAUUAAGCCAUGCGAGUUAAAUGUUCUUCGUGAACAUAGCGAACUGCUCAGUAACACGUGGAUAACCUACCCUUAGGACCGGAAUAACCCCGGGAAACUGGGGAUAAUACCGGAUAAGCCAUAGACGCUGGAAUGCCCUAUGGUUCAAAGCUCCGGCGCCUAAGGAUGGAUCUGCGGUCUAUCAGGUUGUAGUGGGUGUAACGUACCUACUAGCCGACGACGGAUACGGGUUGUGAGAGCAAGAGCCCGGAGAUGGAUUCUGAGACACGAAUCCAGGCCCUACGGGGUGCAGCAGGCGCGAACACUUGACAAUGCGGGAAACCGCGAUAAGGGAACCCCGAGUGCCAGCAUCAAAUGUUGGCUGUCCAGAUGAUUAAAAAUCAUUUGUUAGCAAGGGCCGGGCAAGACCGGUGCCAGCCGCCGCGGUAACACCGGCGGCCCGAGUGGUAGCCGUUUUUAUUGGGUCUAAAGGGUCCGUAGCCGGCCUGAUAAGUCCUUUGGGAAAUCUGGCAGCUUAACUGUCAGGCUUCUAAGGGAUACUGUCAGGCUUGGGACCGGAAGAGGUAAGGGGUACUCCAGGGGUAGGAGUGAAAUCUUGUAAUCCCUGGGGGACCAUCUGUGGCGAAGGCGCCUUACCAGAACGGGUCCGACGGUGAGGGACGAAAGCUAGGGGAGCAAACCGGAUUAGAUACCCGGGUAGUCCUAGCUGUAAACGAUGCUCGCUAGGUGUCAGACACGGUGCGACCGUGUUUGGUGCCGCAGGGAAGCCGUUAAGCGAGCCACCUGGGAAGUACGGUCGCAAGGCUGAAACUUAAAGGAAUUGGCGGGGGAGCAC
rnacentral:rRNA from 1 species